GAUGAAGAACGUAGCGAAAUGCGAUAAGUAAUGUGAAUUGCAGAAUUCAGUGAAUCAUCGAAUCUUUGAACGCACAUUGCGCCCCCUGGUAUUCCGGGGGGCAUGCCUGUUCGAGCGUCAUUUCACCACUCAAGCCUCGCUUGGUAUUGGGCAACGCGGUCCGCCGCGUGCCUCAAAUCGACCGGCUGGGUCUUCUGUCCCCUAAGCGUUGUGGAAACUAUUCGCUAAAGGGUGUUCGGGAGGCUACGCCGUAAAACAACCCCAUUUCUACGGUUGACCUCGGAUCAGGUAGGGAUACCCGCUGAACUUAAGCAUAUCAAUAAGCGGAGGA
rnacentral:misc_RNA from 1 species